rnacentral:rRNA from 1 species
GAUGAACGCUGGCGGCGUGCCUAAUACAUGCAAGUCGAGCGAACAGACGAGGAGCUUGCUCCUCUGACGUUAGCGGCGGACGGGCGAGUAAAACUUGGAUAACCUACCUAUAAGACUGGGAUAACUUCGGGAAACCGGAUCUAAUACCGGAUUAUAUAUUCAACCGCAUGGUUCAAUAUUAAAAGAUGGUUUUGCUGGCAUUUUUAGAUGGAUCCGCGCCGCAUUAUGGGCUUGGUAAGGUAACGGGUUUCCCAUGCCACGAUCCGUAUCCGACCUGUGGGGAUGAUAGGCCACAUCGGAACUAGGCAACGUUCGAGAAUGCUGAGGGAGGCAGCAGUAGGGAGUCUUCCGGAAUGGGCGAAAGCCGGACGGAGCAACGCCGCGCGAGUGAUGAUGGCUCUCGGAUCGUAAAACUCUGUUAUGAGGGAUGAACAAAUGUGUAAGUAACUAUGCACGUCUUGACGGUACCUAAUCAGAAAGCCACGGCUAACUACGUG